UAUUAUAUAUUUUUGUUGCUUCUUUUAUUUUAUAUUUUUAACAAAUUGAGACCCUUCUCUAUAUAUUUCGUAAUCUUCUUUGUUUAGAGAAAUAUAUUCCUGUAACAUAUUUCCAUAACAUUAAAUGACCUUCUAUAACAUUUUAAAUAACUACAGAGUAUUCCAUGUUAAGGAUGUAUCAUAAUGGACUUAGUCAUUAUAUCUUUUAUAUGGUUUAAAAAAAGAUACUUCUUAAAUUUUCUAGCUCUUCAAGAGCUGAGCUUCAUUUUUUACAUCAUCAAUAAAGUACCUCACAUACCAAGGAGACACAUUAUGUGUUUCAUAAUAAUAACCUUGCAGCUUUGGACUUUUCGGUUUUUGUCCAAACUCCCUUUUCUCUUUUUAUCCUCUUGCUGCAUUUUGCCUACUUGGACAUUUUCUUUUUGCUUCUUCCACCUGUUCUGUGUGUCUUUCACUUUGCCACCAGUAUGUAGCUUUAUUGCUGCAUCUGUUUCUUUUCUGGUAGAAAUAGGUCAAACGUAAAAUCAAUAACCUGCUUCUCAGCCCAAAAUAAACCUACAGGUGUUGAUGUCUUUUGCUUUAGUCCACAGUUUUAUUCUCAAGUGCAGUGCGUAAACCAUUUAGUGUUUUACACCGAAAAUACGAGCUCCUGAGAACCAAGAAAGUGUAAUCUUAUCUUGUGAGGCAGCGUAGUUAAAAAUACGUAUAAGGCCAUGCAGUAUGGUUUACACCUGUAAUCUCAAUACUUUGGGAGGCCAGACAGGAGGAUCGCUUGAGCCCAUAAGUUUGAGACCAGACUGGGCAACAUAGCAAAACCUUGUCUCUACUGAAAACUUAAAAAUAAAAAUUAGCCAGGCAUGGUGUCAUACACCUGUAGUCCCAGCUAUUUGGGAGGCUGAGGUGGGAGGACUUCUUGAGGCCAGAAGUUUGAGGUUGCAGUGAGUUAUGAUCAUGCCACCGCACUCCAGCCUGGGCGACAGAGUGAGACUUAACCUCAAACAAAACAAACCAUACAGGCUUUAGUUGAGAGUCAUAUUGAUUGGGAUUCAGAUCCUAGCUUUUGCAUCUUAUUUAGCUAUAUAACAUUGGAACAGAUUGCUCUGAGUUUCCAGUUCCUCGUCUGUAAAAUGGGAAUGAUUAUACAUUGGAGGUUGGUGAGAGAAUUAAAUAUGAGAUAAUAUAUAGAAGAUGUUAAAGCACAAUAAGUUGUAUGCAUUAUUGGAAAUACUGUCUGACCACCACCACAUACCAAAAAAAAAAAAAAAAAAAAAAAUUAGGGAAAGCAACCAAAUAUGUAACCCGUUGUAUCUGGGACUAAGCAUCCUUUCUGUAUCAUUAGGACUUGGGAAACUUCUUCCACAAUUUUAGUGGGAUUAUAUUGGAGUCUGAAUCUUACUUUAGUGGCCAGAUUCAGUGUGUAGUAACAGUUAAGGUCUAGGAUGCUUCUAAUUGUUCAUUUCAUAGGUGGAAAAGGAAGAUGGAUACUUACUGCAAAGUAUACAGCAAAUUUUGUCUGGGAGCAAGACAUACAUAAGAGAAAGAAUUUGAAAUGACUCCAGCUUUGGUUGGGCAAAUUCUGACAAUUAUUUUUAAAUGUAAGCCCAAUGAAGUCAAAUAUCUAUAGUGACUGUUAUCUCCAGAUGAAUUUUGAGAAAAAAAAAAUAGAAUUGUUAUAAAUUAAAUGAAGCUUCAGAAAGAUAGGACUCAAUUUAGUCAUAUUGGUGGUUUUUUAAAAAAUUCUAAAUCUUUACAUUGUAUUUUAAUGCCAUAAACUCAUUAUCACUGUAUAGGAUGUUGUCAGUUAGGCUUACUAACGCUCCUUUUCCACCCCCCAACACACACAAAUCAUAUAUCUGAUUUAAAUCAGAACUCUGUCUCACACAUACACACACACUCUCACACUCUCUCUCACACACACAUGCACACACCCAUGCUGCUGGAAAUUUGGGGAAUCACACUGAGUUGAGAAUCAGAAAGUAACUGAGAUUCUUAUCUUUGGAAGGAAAGGUAAGUAAGUAGCUGAGGAGUUCCUAUUCUUCUGUCAGCUCAUCAGCCAGAGAUGAGAUCUGGUGCCACUCCAAACCCUGCCUGAUGGGUUAAACCAGUAUUAGGGUUAUUUAUUCUGUUCAGUACUUACUGAGUACCUGCUAAGUAUUUAGGGAGAGAAAAGAAAAGUGUAUAGACGAUGUUAUCUCUUCUAAUAAAGCAUCAUUUUUGCGGGGGAGGGGUUGCUUUUUAUUUUGUACAUGAAUACAUGAAGUGGCACAACAUUCAAAAGAGAUUAAAAGGAUAGGCAGUAAAAAGUAAGUCUUCUUUCCCUGUCCCUAGCCCACCUAGUUCUGCUACCUUGAGGCAACUACAGUUAUAGUUUCAAAGUAUAAUUUUUAAUAUUUUUAAAAUACUUUAAUACUUUAAAAAUCAGAACAUUUAUCUAGGAAUAGAAUAAUAUAGCAGUCAUAGGGACACACUUUGACACAUCACAUAAGAAAUUAGGUAAAGAGCCAGGUAUAUCGUGGCAUGUGCCAGUAAGUCCCAACUACUUGGGAAGGUGAGGCAGGAGGAUCACUUGAGUCCAAAAGUUCAAGUCCAGCCUAGGCAACAUGGUGAGAACCCAUCUCAAAAAAAAAAAAAAAAAGUGUAGCCCAUGCCUGUAAUCCUAGCACUUUGGGAGGCCGAGGCCGGUGGAUUUCCUGAGCUCAGUAGUUCGGGACCAGCCUGGGCAACACAGUGAAACCCCCUGUCUCUACUAAAAUACAAAAGAAAAAAAAAAAAUAAGCCAGGCAUGGCAGCAUGCACCUGUAGUCCCAGCUACUUGGGAGGCUGAGGCAGGAGAAUUGCUUGAACCCAGGAGGUGGAGGUUGCAGUGAGCCAAGAUCUCACCACUGCACUCCAGCCUGGGCAACAGAGUCAGGCUCCAUCUCCAAAAAAAAAAAAAAAAUUGUAAAAAAAAUAGGUAAAGUAAAUCAUUAAUUUCUAAAUCAAAUAAGUUCAGUCAUGACAGACAACAUAAAAUUUGUAUGUGGAAGUCUUGGGGCUUAAGAGAGGAUAAAAGUUAGAUUAACAUUAGAAGAAGGUAUGGAAAAUCUGUACACAAAACAGUACCUAUACUUUAGCAGGGCAGCCAGUGAAUCAGAAAUGUGUUAAAGGGAAAGAGGUCCUCUACUUAGAUCCAAUAACUGUGUCUUUAGCAUCUCAACCUCCUGAAAGUAAGAAGCUGGGGAGUUGGGGGUAGCUAGAGGGAGAGACCAGACCAUCCAUUUGCACAGAAUAUUCAAAAGAGUCUGUAGAACUUUGAGAAAAACCUUGCAGAGUGUACAUCUUCACCUAAGACUAGAAUAGCUAAUGCGAUUGUGAAAUGGAAUAUUUAUUUAGUGUGUAAGAUUUGUGUUGAUGGGUGGGGGGGGGAUCCUUUGUCAUUUAUUUAAAAGUAAUAUAAAAUUAUAAAAAUGUUUGUUACUGGCCCGGCAGAGCCAAUUUGGCAGUCUAGAAAAAGUCUGGAUUUAUAAGCAAACUAAUGGAAAUAGGAAGGAUUUUUUUAGUAAUAGUUUUGAGGCAACUUUGUGAGGAGGGAAUAAGUUGAUUUACAGACCCAUCUCAAACUAUCUAUAAACAUAUAUAUACAUAUAUACACAUGAACAUCUUAACUUUAUGUAAGCCUGGUCCUAUUUACUUUCAAAUGGACUGGAAUGAAAAGAAAUUAUACCUUAUUGCAUUUUUGUCAUGUAGUCCCAAGUAGGCAGCUUUGCUUCCUAAGAUUUCUGGGGUGGUUUCUUCAUAUUUGCUUUGUAUAUGGGAGCUCAUUUUUAGGAAGUUUUAUAACCGAAAUAUCUUCAAAUAAAUAUAUGCAAAUAAUACCACAAAACAGCAUAAGAGCCCUACUAAUGAUACAGUCAGCAGAUGCCAUAUAAUUGUGAACUGAAAGAGAUCACUUUUGGCUAAAUUAUAGAGCUCAGCUCAUUUUCACCUUUUCCUAAAAAGGUGACUCUAGGUAAAAGGUAGCUGAGCAGACCACAGCAACUCUUGUUCAGUUUGAUUAUUUUAAACUAGGAAACCAGGUAACUGCAGUAGAUGCCUGCUAUUAUGAGGGAUUAGAUAGGAGCAGUGAGCCAUUGCUCAGCUCCUGUUCAGUGUGGGGGUUCCCCAGCCAGUUCAUCACAGGUAUCAGAGGGCAAACACUGUGACAGGAGCUGUCAGGAGGACUAUACAAAGAGAAAGCAUUAUUGACAUAGCAAAGACAUGAGGUGACCUAGAUGUUUGUAAGCCACUCUGGCAGCUACAGCUGAGGGAGCAGGCCUGGUUAGAGAUUUCUCACAGGUGUUCUCCAGACCCGAACACUGUAGUUUUAUG
rnacentral:lncRNA from 1 species